rnacentral:rRNA from 1 species
UCAGGACGAACGCUGGCGGCGUGCCUAAUACAUGCAAGUCGAACGGUCUUUCUAUGGAAGCUUGCUUCCACUGAGAAGAUAGUGGCGGACGGGUGAGUAACACGUGGGUAACCUGCCCAUAAGAGGGGGAUAACAUCCGGAAACGGGUGCUAAUACCGCAUAGUUUUCUUGAUCGCAUGAUUGAGAAAGGAAAGACGGCCUUUGUGCUGUCGCUUAUGGAUGGACCCGCGGCGUAUUAGUUAGUUGGUGAGGUAACGGCUCACCAAGACGAUGAUACGUAGCCGACCUGAGAGGGUGAUCGGCCACAUUGGGACUGAGACACGGCCCAAACUCCUACGGGAGGCAGCAGUAGGGAAUCUUCCGCAAUGGACGAAAGUCUGACGGAGCAACGCCGCGUGAGUGAAAGAAGGUUUUCGGAUCGUAAAACUCUGUUGUCAGAGAAGAACAAGUCGGAGAGUAACUGCUCCGGCCUUGACGGUAUCUGACCAGAAAGCCACGGCUAACUACGUGCCAGCCGCCGC